UCGAGGAGCCACAGGGAGCGGCUCCCUCCAACCUCCUGUGAAAUGGGCAUGCUGGCUUUUUACGGGGGACUCUGUGGGGCAAGUGGAAGAGACUUGAGUCAUCAGUUUCCUAAGACACCAACCACCAGCAUCUGUGAGCCCUCCUGGGACUUGACGGGGUGAUUUGCUUUCCGCGGCUCCGUCAUCAGAGCCCUCGUCUCUGCCUGCUGGAGUUUGUCACGCUCUGGCUCUUCACAGGAAAACUGCCUAAUGCCAUGGCAAAAGCAAGGUAAUAAAAUAUUCAUCUGCUGCGACUGGAGGAUGGAAGCUACGGUGUCUUCCAGGAGAAGUGGAGACCUAAAUUAAAGACACGCACAGACACAGACAAAAGCACAUGUCUGAGCAGCAGACCACCCCGGGGCACUCAGCACACGUGGGAGCCCCCCAGCCUCCACUUGCACAAAAGCAUAUGCCCGUAUGCACACAGAGCACCUGCACACGCAUGUGAUCACACACCCGUGCACCAUGUCAGCCUGUGCCACCCAUGCAUGCAGGCCACAGUGGGAAUGCACCAUGCAUGCUGCACACACCUGGGAGAUACUGACACACACACCCCCGUACCUAUCCUCCAUCACCGUAAUUAAAAGUGACAUCUUCCUAGCUGGUGUACCCGAGGCAGAAGAGCCCAUCGUCACGACCCUGACUUCUGGACGAGAGUGGCCUGUCUGGUGUCCUGAGGAAGCUCUGCUCUGCCAGGCGGAAGGCAGCCACAGCACAGGGGGAGUCAGGGGAAGCGUGACUCAGAGAGGCGCCUCAGAUUUCCUCCCUGCAUCUGUUUGCGGUGCCCGCGCUCCCUGGGAUGCUAACCAACAGUGACAGAUGAUCUCAAUUGGCUGGCGCAUGUGAAGAGCCACUGGACCAGGCAAAAGAAAGCAGCAACGGAGAUGAGCCAGGGAGGAGGAGAGAGGCUGCGCUCUCGCUCUCUCGUGAUCCAGCUAAAACCAGCUGCCGCACCAGGGCGAGGUGCUCUGCAGUUUUCAAAGCACAUCACAUCCAUUAUCUCCCAUGACCCAUAGACAGGCCUGCCACGGCGGCUGGUGCGAGGUCGCCAAGCCCUAUGCACGCUGCCCCCAAAUGCCUCUUGCAUCUAUUCCUUCCUCUUCCAUCACAUGCCACGGCCCUUAUCAUCUCUCACGGGGUUGUUGCAAUAGCUCCUCGCCUGUCUCCUCACUCCUAGCCUCUGCCCUCGUCCCCUCCUGCUGCCUGAGUGAUCUUUCUGUACUGCGAAUUCAUUCACCCUACCCUUGGCUUCACAGCCUCCACCAGGGCCCCAGCAGAGGCAGAAUGAAGGCCAGGUCCUCUGCACUCCAGGACGGCGGCCUCACUCUACAAACCCCCCUCUGGUAGUUCCCACCACACCCCACCUGCCCUGCAGGCCUGUGGAGUGAUAAUGAGCUUUCUGAAUUCAUGGAAGCCUUUCAGAGGCCUGACCUUGAGCUCUGCCUGGACCUGUGGGUUCUUCUGUCCUCCUGAUAUCUCAGCUUCCUCUAAGGCUCAGCAUCAUCUAGACUGGGGUAUGUCUGGGGGGCUGCCUGCCUACCUAGCACCGGUGGUGUUUGUACCAGAUGCAGUUGUGACUUUACAUCCUCCAGCACACCAAGAUCUUGCCCAACCUGGGGGCCGUGCCCUUCCCGUGCUGUAUCCCUGAUGCCCAGUGAGAUUCUGGAACCUAGUACAUGGUCAGUUGGUGUUUGUGAAAUUGAGUUUCCAGGUGAGGACACCGAGGCUCAGUGAGGUCAAGUGAACUGAAUGCCCCUGCCAGGAAAGAAGUCCCAUGAGGUCUCCUCCAGUCCCUGCCCCUCCACACCUCUCUGCAGGCUCUGGGACCCCAGGGCCACCAUAACCAGCCUCUGUCGGUUUCCAUCACGAUGAAGGAUUUUUUUCUUCUUCUCCAAACCUUUGCUUCUCUCAUCCUCCGCCCCUGGUGCUCCCUGCCUUUGGAGCAGCCAGGGACUUUGGGAAGCCUUGGUCUGGAAGAAGCCUUGGAGACAGUCAGAGACACCAUGGGAGAACCCAUGUUCUUCCUUCCCAUCAGGUUUGUAGCUUCUUUUUACAAUGAUGUUCUCAAGGUCUCCAAGGAUAGCCACUCCACUCAUCGAAGCAAGCUCAUGCUUUGGAAUUGGAUGGUGAGGACCCAGGGAGCCACGGUGAAGGCCAGAAUCCUCACUCUCACAACCAGCACACUGCGUUGGACGAUGCCUCUGCCCACAGUUACGUCCCCCGCAGAACAGAGGCUCUUUGCAGAUAUAAUGGAUGUGAGUCUUGAGAUGAGCUCAUCCCAGAGAAGAGUGGGCCCAGAUUCAGUGACAAGUGUCUUUAUGAGAGACAGGAAGGAGAAGGCCCACGGGCAGAGCAGAUGAGCCCAGAUGAUCCAUGUGAGGACAGGCAGAGGCUGGAGUGAGGUACCCAUGAGGCAAGUGGCCCCAAGGGAGACUGGAGCCACCAGAAGCUGGGAGGUGGCUGGUGUGGACUCUCCCCAGAGACUGCCGGAGCCCAUGGCUGACACCUCGACUUCAGUCGGCUGCCUUCUAGGACUGUGUUUUAAGAUAACCAGCUUGUGAUCUCUUGUUACCUUGACAGCCCUUGCAAACAAAUAGAGCCAGGCAUCAUGAGAAUCUGGGGAGGCCCCGUAGGGCUGCAGGAUGCCAGAGUAUGAGGACAGGGUGACCUUUCUCCUUCCAUUAUGUGGGGGGCCCCCUGCUCCCACCUCAGCACUCCAUCUCCUUGCAGUCUCUGCGUGGACCUCAAGCUGCCUGCCACCAGACUGCCUGCUCCCCUCUCCUCUGCGUGUCUCGGUCUCAGGCCCACCAGUGGCUCUGCAGCCUGAGCUCCCCACGUCCCUCACGGCUUUCCACAUCAGUCCGUCAACUCUCACCUCCUUCAGCUCCUCUAAGAGAGAUGAUGCAGUGUUUUAGGAACUGCUGUUAUUCCACAUGGACAUGGCCUUUACAUCAGGCCACCUCCUGGGCAGCAGGCCUGGUCAGGUUCCUCACUGGUCUUGCUGGCUGUGUUGAGGUAGGUAUAGGCCACGUGUUCAGAAUCACCAGGAAGGAGGCUCGGAGAGGUGGGACAGGUAAUGGGGACACUCCCUGCCAGGACAGUGGGGUUCUUCACUGUUAAGACUCAACUUCUUGCAGACUUAAAUAAUAUAAGUAAGACACAAAGAGGGAAAGGGGAGAAGCAAUUUUUUUUUUCUAAUGUAAGAAGGAAAUUUCAUACUUCAAAAAACUGUAGGACGCUGCCUUUACAGGCUGCUCCCAAGUGCUCAUUGUUUUGGGUCAGUGUGACCCACUGUGUCCAUUUAGGGACAUGAAGGGUGGGCAGGGAGAGGCUGGCAGGAGAAGCUAGGCUGCCAGGGCCAUGGCAGAGCAGAGGUCAGUCUGUGUACCAGGGGUGAUGGCAGAGGACCUGAGACAGUGGACCUGGGUUCAGUUGGCUGCUCACACCAUAACCCCACUCCCUGGACGCCUCCCUUGGGCAGCUCCGUGCUGGAGAUGCAGUACAGACCUCUCUUCAUUCACUUUUCCCCAGGCCCAGGGGUGAGGGCUAGGGUCAUGCUUGUUGCAGGCAUCAGGGACCAAAGGUGAAAACCCAAGGUCACGGGACAAGUAAGUGGUAGAGUCAGCACUUGAACUCAGGUCAAUAGGGCCCAGAGACGUGAGCCAAAUGUGCUUUGAGAUCUUAGAGUGGAUCCCAGAGUACAGGGAAGAUACCCAAGAAGAUGUGACAGGGACAAUUGGUGACAUUUGCAUAUGGAGUCCAGAUGAUAUGAUAGUAUUGUAUCAAUGCUAAAUUUCCUGAUUUUGAUAACCAUACUAUGAAAAAUAGAAAAGGGUCUUGUUUCCAAGAAAUGAAUCCCAAAGAUGAAUAGGAUAGCUGGGCACAUACACCCGUACUCCCAGCAACUCAGGAGACUGAGGCAGGAGGAUUGCAAGUUCAAGGUCAAUUUUGGCAACUUGAAGAGACUGUUUCAGAAUAAUAUAAAAAGAGCUGGGGAUAUAG